CAGGUGCGGUUUUAUAAACUUUGCUUUUUAAAUACCCCCAAAGGAAAAACUUGUGUUAAUUCUGACGACCGUGCGAGACAUUCAAUUGCACUAUGCCUGCUAAUCCACACCCCUGGAAACUGUUUGUUAAGCGAUUCUUGAACUGACAAAGAGUAGUGUGGGAGAGCACCAUCUUGUUGGAAAUUUGUCCAGUUAAAUUUUCUUCCAAAAAAAAUGGAUACUGAGUAUGAUCUUCUCAAAAAAGGUGUAGAUUUUUAUUAUCCCAGUAUUACCAGUCUAGAAAAGUUGACUCAUCACUGAAGAAGAUCUUUAUUAAAUGAGGGUCCUUGUCAAUUCGCUGGUGUAUCAGUUUGCAAAAUUCAAUUUUCAAAGAUUUGAAUUUUGUAGGAAAUUGUUUCAAAGUUUUGUAUAAAAAACCUGUUGAAAUAUUAGUUAGCUCUGUGUCUUUGGGGACAGAUAAUGUUGGACAUACAUAUUUGCUUACUA